CACUCACUUAUAUAAUUUUUAUAGUUAAUAGAUCUUCCCCUUACUAAGUGAAAGGAGUAUUUGUUUCUCCAGGGGGUGGGAACUCUUUGUACCAUACUGGUACUUUAAUAGAUGGUCUAAUUGAUAUCAACCCAAUUAAUUUACCAGGUCUACCACGUGUUCUAAAUUGGUUAGACAUUAUACCCAUUUGAAUUGCCUUCACUCCUGAAUCUGAGUGUCAGGUUCAAGCUGCUGACCGACGAGGUUCCUUAUGCUUGCGAACCAGUUAGAUUCUAUACACAUAUGAAUCUUCCCCAUAUUCGAAUAUCUGAAUGUCAGUCUCAAGCUGAUGAUAUAUGAGGUAUGGUCCUCGCUGUAUCAAUCAAGUCCCAUUGAAAUAUUGAAACGUUGUUCAUACAUCUUUGAAUGACCUUUUAUGUGCUGACAAUAUGUUCUGAAAUGAAGAGAUUUUACCCCUGAUGAAGUCUUGGAACAAGACGAAACGCGUUGGGUUAUUUAUCUAUCUAUUAUCUGAUGUUACCUCCGAA